AUUUUCUUCCUCUUUUUACACAGAAACAUGUUAGUCCCAGGCAACUUGAGCUCUCAGCCCUGCACUUGCCACCUCCAGGUUUCUCCCUCCCUGUUGAAGCAGACCUCUGCUCCUGAUGAAACAUCCUGGGUGAAGCCUACAAGGAGAAGAGCCAUGCAGACACUGAAUGAGGACCUCUUGAGCCCUUGCAGAAUGAUCCAGUAGCUCCAUACACCUUUGGGAGGUGAUGAGCUGGGUGCUCUCCUCAGCCAGGAACUGUUGUGGGCUGCAAUAUGGAGAUGCUAGAGAGAUGACUGGAUGAUUUUGCUCAUCUAAGAAUGGUGUGACAUGCUCCAAAAGACAUGCUCAAAUGUGGAAUGUUGGAAAAUACAGAGCAGUGGGCAGACUUUCCUGGGAGAACAGUGUAUAAAUUCUUCCCUUUUUGGACAUGUUUUACUCAGGCAACCCCUGCUUCAUUUAAGUCCCCAGGAAAGGAGCAGAGCACAGGGAGAAGUCACUGUCUUAGCAAAAUGGUUCUUAGCUGAGGGCUUUCUCAGCAGGGAAGCACAGCCACCUCAACACUGCAGGCCAACAAACUGUACCAAUAUCCAGAAAAGCAAUAUCCAGGCCUUUCCCUUCCUUCCUCCCCUACACCCUGGCUGUGUACUUGCAUGCUCUUUAUUACAGCAAUCUUGAUUUACAUCAGCAGGAACCGGAGUCACACAUGCCUCACUUCAAAGCUCCCUCCCUGCCUGUGAGGGAGCUGCUGAUAGCAGCAGAUAGUGGUGUCUGCAGCUCACAAGUGAAGUGAAAGUCUGGUGAGCUGCCCAGACAGACACCACUCUGGUUUGAGUCAUUACCCUUUUCCACCUGUUCUCAGCUGGAUGGAUGAGAAAGGAUAACUCAUGUUCAAACACCAGGUCAGCUGUGCCUGCCCUUGCAAAAUAAACAUUUGAUGUCAGUGAAGAACAUUAAUGGGAUGGUAUUUCAGGUACUUCCUUUCCCUUCACGCAUUUCUCAGGGGUUUUAUCAAAAGUAAAGAGAGUGAAUAAGAUCCCAGAAGGCACUCAGACUCUGCUGGAAGCAAUGAUGUCCAAGGCCUGGCAGCUGUCAGCAUGGGUGGCACAGCUUCUCCACAAGUCCAUGCCUAUGCCCUGGAUGAUCACGGCACAGCUGGGAAGUGAUGGCUGUGAGCUGCCCACCCCCUGUUCCACAAACAGGGAUCUGAGGGGCAAGAAGAUAUCAACUAUGUCACCUGCACUGGGUGCUGCCAGGUGCUGUCUGAGCCCAGUCUGUGCUGAAGGUUUUCAAAACGAUGGUCGAGGCCCAGGGGGGACUAGCCAGGCUCCUGAGCCCAUCUCAUCUCACUUCACUGCCAGCCUAUGGAAAACCAGGUCUGGCUCAGGGCAGGUGCCAGGAGCUGUGCCUGAGCACACAGCCCCCUGCACAGGUUCCCCGCUCAUCUGUAAGCUGCACCCGUUUGAUCUCACCAGCCUUUGGGGCUGUUCCCUGGGACCAACCUCAUGGAAGAGCCGAAACAAGGACUCUCUGAGCAGCAGCUCCAGCCUGGGUGUCCUGCCAGAAAACCCCGGGUGCUGCCGGGAGCGAGCGGUGGCUCAGUAGGUGGCACUCUGCAUCCACAGGGAGCCAGCACCUUCCCAAAGGUGAGCCCUGCCCUUGCAGCCCCAGCAACCACAAGGCCCCCGUGCAGUGGGGCAGCCCGGGGGGCUGAGCCUUGCAGCCCCCCUCAAGGCUGCUCCUCCCUGCACCACGUCUGGGGUUACCCUCUGGAAGUUCAUCCUGAGAACAGAAUCCAAAUGUCCUUCCAGCCCUGGAAGAGGGCAAUGGCCAAGGUUAGUGCCUUUUGCCUCACAGCACACAGAAGAACUGGGGCUUGUGGCAGAUCCCACUCAGAAUGCCCUGAAAUGUGUGGUAUCUGGAGGGUGUUCUCUCCAAGAAACAGCCAAGCAGGGCUUGGCCAGGAGGCUGCCAUUUGGGAAGAGCUCCCCUGAUGUCCUACCGGAACCUCUCCAUGCAUAACUGGGUACCCAUCACCAUCUGGCUGCACUUUCUGGACUUUGGGGAGUUGUGCUGGUUGAUACCAGGCUGCCCCUUCUUCUUCAAGCUCACAGGGAGGAGUAGCAGGAGGAAGUUGAUGAAAUGGCAACUUCAAAACAUGGCAAGCCAAACUCCUCGCUGCUGGCAGUCAGUGAGAUGGAGCUAUCAGCUGGAGACUGGAGAAGAGAGGGAACACGGUGAGUCAGCUGCUGGAUAUGCUGUGUUUGGUCUCCUAACAGUGCAGGUAACACGGGCAAUUGCACUUGGGACAUGCAACCUUUCCCCCGCUAAGCCUCUUCCAAUUGCUCAGCAGUUUGCCAAGUGCAGCAAAUGGGACUGGAAUGUUCAGUGCUCAAUAUAUUUCUCAGA